GACGGAGGAUGCAAGUGUUAUCCGGAAUCACUGGGCGUAAAGCGUCUGUAGGUGGUUUAAUAAGUCAACUGUUAAAUCUUGAGGCUCAACCUCAAAAUCGCAGUCGAAACUAUUAGGCUAGAGUAUAGUAGGGGUAAAGGGAAUUUCCAGUGGAGCGGUGAAAUGCGUAGAGACUGGAAAGAACACCGAUGGCGAAGGCACUUUACUGGGCUAUUACUAACACUCAGAGACGAAAGCUAGGGUAGCAAAUGGG
rnacentral:rRNA from 1 species